GUGCCCGUAGCUCAAUGGCAGAGCGCCUGACUGUGGCUCAGGAGGUUGCGGGUUCGAAACCCGUCGGGCACCCCA
rnacentral:tRNA from 2 species